rnacentral:lncRNA from 1 species
AUGCAUCAGAUGGCUAAAUUGGUGUGUAAAAAGCGGGGUGUGAUGUGGAGAUUUGGAAUGGUUUAAUGUUGUGGAAAACGGGUGGGGUUUGGAAUAAUAUGGCAUACUGACUAGGCUAGUCUAGAUUUAGACUUUAACUAACGGUGUAGAUGCUCUAUGAAAUAUAGCUAUAAUCAUCAACGGAGUAAACAAUUGUUGACUUGUCCAUGAAUGUGUUGUUGGUGACCCGUUAGUAAAAUAUCUAACAAUUUUUUUUUUGAUAAUAUCCGUGAAUGAUUUGUCGAUCAGUAAUAUCCAUAGGUGAUCUCUUGGUGAAUAUGUUGUCCACAAUCCGCUAUCGAAGCAUCCAGAGGUAAAUUUCGUCAAUGAAGUCUUUACCCACACCUAAUUUCGCACGAAAUUUCACAGACCGUUACCAUAAUCAUAACUAGUUUAAUACCCGUCCGGUGGACGGGUUACGUUGAUGUAUUAUAUAGUAACAAUAUGAAUGAACCUAUGAACACAAAGAAAUAAAAUAGAGUCAGAUUACACAAAAUACAUGACAAACAAAACUAACAUAUAUUAACGUUGUGGGUUUCCCUUUGAAUUGUGGGUGGGCCUGAUCAUCAGAACUAUCUGUUUUCACAAAGCGCGGGUGACCUUUCACCAAUUAGUUUACCGGAAUGGUCGGGCUUGUAUAGCAUUCGUUUGCCAUUAAAAAAAUUCAUCUUGCAACAAUGAUCCUGUAGAAUUUAUGUUAGUGGUUCCCAUAUUGAUAAGAAGUAGAACAAACCAGCCUAAAAAAAUACACUAAGUGGGCUUACAUUCAAGA